UACGUAGGGGGGCAAGCGUUAUCCGGAAUUACUGGGCGUAAAGCGCACGCAGGCGGUUUGCCAAGUUUGGAGUGACAGUUGUUGGCUCAACCGACAAAGGACUUCAAAAACUGGUGAACUUGAGGACGAGAGAGGAACAUGGAACUCCAGGUGUAGUAGUGAAAUGUGUAGAUAUCUGGAAGAACACCAAUGGCGAAGGCAAUGUUCUGGCUCGUUUCUGACGCUCAGGUGCGAAAGCCAGGGGAGCGAACGGG
rnacentral:rRNA from 1 species